AUCUAUUCCUCUCCCGAUGCCUCUGCUCCCCACCUCCAUCGUCAUCGCAACCACUAAGGCCAUCGCUAUCUGUCCUCUCUCGUGUUUGUUCUUCCUCCGAUCGAUGCAUCCGCUCGUGGGGGCGCUGCUGGUGGGGGCCAGGGAGCAUUGGUGGUGGCCGUGCUAGGGCCUGACGGCGCGUCAUGCGGCUGCGUGGGCGGGCACGCUGGAACCGGCCGUGUCGGUAGCGUCGUUCGCGCUGGAGACCAUGUUCAUGUGGGUGCUGGGCAGCGGCGGGUGCGCGGCCGGGUCGGUGCGCGUGCCGCUCGACGGCGGCGGGGACGAUACCAAUCUACUCCGCCUCCAGACAUCACUCCCUCCGCUCCUGCAGUUCACGCCUCUUCCUCUAGCAAGAUCGGCGGUGGCUACACCUCCCGAGGAUGUCCUUGCGCUCUUCCUGUCCCAUAUCGCUAUUGCUUGCUCCCGCCUCUAUAACCACCAUACGAAGCGCCGGCGGAGCUUACACCUCCUCCAGCCGCCUCAUCCCCAGGUGAGCCCCCUCAAAGAUCCAUGGCAGCACGGGCGGUGACACAGAAACACAUAGGAAGAGGCGGCCAGUUUCUUCAAUGUAUUGUAGACCCGUUAUUGAUAGGAAAUAAUAACAAAAGGGAAGUAUAUGUCGCCAGACUUACUAAUCAUUUGCCACUCUUUUCUUCCGCUUUCCAAAUUCAUUUCCCUAGGGACGAGACGUUAUGAGGUUCCAUGUCUGUAUUUCUGGUAAAAGAAUCAAUUUAGCCCAAUUAUGUUUUCUUGUUAGCACUUGGUAAAUCUUGCAGUCAGGCAAAUUAUAUGUACUCCAACUGUUUAGGAUAGGUGGAGCAGCCUAGCUCCAUAUCUCACAAUAAACUCAUGCUAUGUCUUGUGCUACCACGUUUGUGUUUUGUAAGUUGAGAAGCUAUAAUUGGCUAUUGGCUAUGGUAGUUUCUUGGCGGACUUUUUUUUUCUGGUUCUGCUCAACAAUUGUAGCUUGUGAAUUGCAGGUCAUAUCUGAAGAUUUACCUACUAUUAUUUCUGAUGUUUCAUUCCCCAAGUCUAUGAUGCCUGAAACUUUAAAUGUUCUGUUUAGUCAUACUGUGGAUCAUGGCGAUUCAUGGAGAUCUUGUUGUGCCAUUUUCUUUUGCUGGCAUCUCAAGGUGAUAUUUUAGUGGAUACUUAAUUUAUAUAUUUUUUUAACAAUUAUAAUUUGCUAUGGGGCAGUAGGAGCCACUCAUUCUCCUCUUUUGUGAAUUUUAAGGUACACAUUGGACUAUCAUGUGUAUUUUGUUUGUUUUGGUUUCUUCUUAUGAUUUCUAUUUGAUAUUCAUUCUCCUCUUUUGUAAAUUUUAAGGUACACAUUGGACUAUCAUGUGUAUUUUGUUUGUUUUGGUUUCUUCAUAUGAUUUCUAUUUUGAUAUGAAUAUUGAUGUUUAAACUCACAAGUAUCAUAUCGAAUUAUCCACUAUGUAUUGCAGGUAGCAAUAUUGAAUGGCCUUAGUAACAUUUCCCUUUUCAAGGCAUAAUGUCUGUCCUGGUACUUGCACCGGACAUAAACUAUUGUAAAUAUAGUAAAAUCUUAUAUUUCUAUUGUGGGAUUUCACUCUUUGGUGUGUGACAGGCUGGCGGUUGUGCUUGCUGUCUCCAGUGUUUAGGUGGAAACUACAUAAUCAUAUUUGGUAACUUUAGGGAGAAGUUGUGAUUUUUGUUGGUAUGCAGGUGGAAACUACAGAAUCAUAUUUGCUAACUGUGUGGGAAAGCUGGGAUUUUUGUUGGUAUGCAUGUCAGAUACAAGGUGCAUGUAUUGCUCAAAUAUUUCAGUGGUCCUAUUACAUUACUGUAUUUAGUAAAAACAUGCUCUGGCUCUGAUCGUACAACUUUGCACUAAUACUCCGACAAAUGUGGCCCUGCUUGAUCUUAGGUUAAUAAUUUUAUAUUGCUGGCGGAUUAAUUCAUAUAGCUCUUUAACUUUUGGAAGAGAUAACUCAGAUGACUUAGGCUGGUCACAAUGGGCAAGAACAUAAGCUAGUAACUUCACACAUCCCUAGACUAUGUUACUACCUCCAUAGUGGGUAGGAACAUCUAUGUAGUGUCAUGCAAUGAUGUAUUUAUUAGGUUAUAGACUCAUUGUUUCUUGGAAUGUGUGAUGUUCCGGUAACUUAGCUAGUUACCACAAGCACCUCUCUCUUCAUUAAAUACGUGCCACAUAAGCAAAGUUGUAUUGAAGUGUGUGAUGUUACUCCUAAGUUCCUCCCCACUGUGACCAGCCUUAUGAGAAGAUGCUCUGAUAGAUGUGCAAUGUACCAAAAAAGAGUUCUUUUGGCAACAUAAUUUCAUGUAAUUUGUGCGGAGCUACCUUGAAAGAGCAAUAAAACUCUAGAAGGAGCAAGGACCACCACAUGGUGAACACUUGCACCUGUGCAUGAAGAGCGCCAGCCGUUGAAUGGCGUGGCACAUCAAGUCAGGGAAACAUUACUUUCUUCACUGCUCUCCAAUGUGUGCUUUUGCUUUCUCCCUCUUCCUUAUUUAUUAGAGCUUUUAUCAAUAUAUUUAAAAAAAGGUUCUACGCCUUUUCA